GACGAACGCUGGCGGCGUGCCUAAUACAUGCAAGUUGAGCGCUGAAGGUUGGUACUUGUACCAACUGGAUGAGCAGCGAACGGGUGAGUAACGCGUGGGGAAUCUGCCUUUGAGCGGGGGACAACAUUUGGAAACGAAUGCUAAUACCGCAUAAAAACUUUAAACACAAGGUGGAAGUUUGAAAGAUGCAAUUGCAUCACUCAAAGAUGAUCCCGCGUUGUAUUAGCUAGUUGGUGAGGUAAAGGCUCACCAAGGCGAUGAUACAUAGCCGACCUGAGAGGGUGAUCGACCACCUUGGGACUGAGGCACGGCCCAAACCCCUACGGGGGGCAGCAGUAGGGAAUCUUCGGCCAUGGACGAAAGUCUGACCGCGCACCGCCGCGUGGGUGAAGGAGGUUUUCGGAUCGUAAAACUCUGUUCGUAGAGAAGAACGUUGGUGAGGGUGGAACCCUCAUCAAGUGACGGUACCUACACAGAAAGCGACGGCUAACUCCGUG
rnacentral:rRNA from 1 species